UUUCUGCUUUUGAAUAUGCUAUAGAUUAAAAUAUUUUCUGAUCAUAACUGCAUAAAUGUUGACCUUUAAACAGUUUAUUCUAGUUCCAAUUCUGUGGGAAGUAUACAGGAUUUAAAUCUUUAAAAAAAUCACAGCAGUGUUUUCAGUUACUAAUAUAUAAUUAAGAUAAUUUCUUUUUUUUAAAAUUAUAGUUUGUUUUGUCAGUCAAAACCAAGGGAGAAGAUUGUUCCCAAGUGGCAUGAAAAGCCCUACGAGUGGAAUCAGGUUGAUCCAAAGCUGGUCAUGGAGCAGGCCGACCACGAGAGCAGCAGAGGGAAGAACACCUUUCUCUACCAGCUCCACAAACUGGUUGUGCUCGGCACCUGAGCGUGUCCACAGGUGGCCUCCAGCACACCCCUCAGGAAGCUGCAGAGGCUGGAUUCCAGGCUCCCUCUGCAGACUGACUUUCCUCUGUGUCUGGGCUUUACAGUCUGUGUCCACUGCAUCCUAAAGGCCUUUUCUUUCUUCUUUUCUCUUUGGGUGAUAGUCAGAGAGUGGUGUUUUUGUUCAGGUGGGAAGGAUUGGAAACUCUAGUGUUUUCUAGAAACAGAAAAUCACUGUAUUAAAUAUUUUGGAAAAAUUGUUCUGAAAGAAGACUGUUUGGAUAAAGAGCUGUAUUUUGCUUUAAAUUUAUUAAGGUAAAUAUAAGUAGUUAAUCUUAGAUGUAAGGUUCCAGAAUGUGCUUACAUAUUCUGUUCUGUUACAGUGAUUUAAACCAGUAGUAUAGGAAAAAACUUAAAAACGAAAAAACCAUGUAGUAUUUUCUGAUUUUUUUUUUUCCAUGAGGGAAAAUAUCUAAUUUUUGUAAGACUAAGUUGAGUUAUAGUUCUUGCUUCACAUUUUGGAAAUCAGAGAUUACAGAUUACAUGGCCAUAGCUUAUCUGUGUUAAAACAAUAAAAGCAUUAGAUG
rnacentral:sRNA from 1 species